UGCGUAGGUGGUUUCUUAAGUCAGGAGUGAAAGGCUACGGCUCAACCGUAGUAAGCUCUUGAAACUGGGAAACUUGAGUACAGGAGAGGAAAGUGGAAUUCCUAGUGUAGCGGUGAAAUGCGUAGAUAUUAGGAGGAACACCAGUAGCGAAGGCGGCUUUCUGGACUGUAACUGACACUGAGGCACGAAAGCGUGGGGAGGCAAACAA
rnacentral:rRNA from 1 species